UUUGUAGUCCUGGCGUCAGGAUGAACGCUGGCGGCGUGCCUAACACAUGCAAGUCGAACGGGGCGCGCGAUGGAAACUUUUCGGAGCGGAAAUUGGCGCUGCCUAGUGGCGGACGGGUGAGUAACGCGUGAGCAACCUGCCCUGCACUGGGGGACAACAGCUGGAAACGGCUGCUAAUACCGCAUAGGCGCACAGCCCCGCAUGGGGCGGUGUGGAAAGUAAUAUGGUGCAGGAUGGGCUCGCGUCUGAUUAGCUUGUUGGCGGGGUAACGGCCCACCAAGGCGACGAUCAGUAGCCGGCCUGAGAGGGUGGACGGCCACAUUGGGACUGAGACACGGCCCAGACUCCUACGGGAGGCAGCAGUGGGGGAUAUUGCACAAUGGGGGGAACCCUGAUGCAGCGACGCUGCGUGGGCGAUGGAGUACUUCGGUAUGUAAAGCCCUAUCAGCAGGGAAGAAAAUGACGGUACCUGACUAAGAAGCCCCGGCUAAAUACGUG
rnacentral:rRNA from 1 species